rnacentral:misc_RNA from 1 species
UUUCCGUAGGUGAACCUGCGGAAGGAUCAUUAAAAAAUUGGACUCCAUUGGUGAGUUCAUUAAUAAUCCCUACCCUUUGUGAAUUUGUUUGUUUGAAUAAUUUUUUUCCAAAAAAAAUUAUUGAAUGUCUUUCCCUGUUUUGGUGGAGCUUGUAAAGUGAAACCAGGCAGGGGAAUGGCAAACAAUAAUUAUUUUUGAAAAAAGACCUUUUUUUAAAAUUAAACUUUUGUAUUCAUUUGUCUAAAAUUAUUUUUAUAAUAUAAAAACAACUUUUGACAAUGGAUCUCUUGGUUCUCGCAACGAUGAAGAACGCAGCAAAAUGCGAUAAGUAAUGUGAAUUGCAGAAUACGUGAAUCAUCAAAUCUUCGAACGCAUAUUGCACUUUUUUAGUUUACUAAAAAGUAUGUCUGUUUGAGUAUCAGUAAAAUAUUCUCAUAAAAGAAUUUAUUUUUUUUUAUGGUUAAUGAGUGUUUUACAACGAUACAAGUUGUUUCACUUUAAAUUGAAUUUUAAAAUUGUUUUUUUAUUUUCAAUUUUUAAAAAUUGGAUAAAAUUUUCCCGUAAAAAGGAAUAAACUUGACAAUUUUUUAAUCUGAAAUUAAAAAUUCAAUAGCAAAAGGAAAUUUAUUUCAAAUAACUUGAUCUCAAAUCAGAUAAGAGUACCGCUGAACUUAAGCAUAUCAAUAAGCGGAGGAAAAGAAACUAACAAGGAUUCCCCUAGUAACGGCGAGUGAAGCGGGAAGAGCUCAAAUUUGAAAUCUUAAAGGGUUUCCCUUUACGAAUUGUAGUUUAAAGAAGUGUUUUCUGCUGAAAUUUUGGUAAAAGUUCUUUGGAAUAGGACAUCAUAGAGGGUGAGAAUCCCGUAUUUGACCAUUAUCUUCAGCUAUGUGAUACACUUUCAAAGAGUCGGAUUGUUUGGGAAUGCAGUCCAAAAUGGGUGGUAAAUUUCAUCUAAAGCUAAAUACUGGCGAGAGACCGAUAGCGAACAAGUACCGUGAGGGAAAGAUGAAAAGAACUUUGAAAAGAGAGUUAAACAGUACGUGAAAUUGUCAAAAGGGAAGCGUUUGACACCAGUGUUGUUUUCUCGAAAAUCAAUUAAAAAAGGCCGGAUUUUGUGUUGUAUUGACUUUAUCAGCUUUCUGCACUUUUUCUUGUCUUUUUUAAUGCACUUUUCGUUUAACAAGUCAACAUCAAUUUCUUUUGUUGUAAAAGGGCCAUUGGAAGGUGGCUUUCUUUUCGGAGAAAGUGUUUAUAGCCUUUGGCCUCUGCAAUCGGAGAGAUUGAGGUCUGCAGCGUAGAUCCUUCGGGUUAGAUACAUUUGUGCUAAGUUAUAGCCUUUCAUAGACAACUUGUUGACUAUGAUCAGUCAUGUAGCUUACUCGCUUAUGCUAUUUACCUACGCUUAGGAUGUUGAA